AGUAUCAUUAAGUGAAUACAUAGCUUAAUGAGGGGAACUCAGGGAACUGAAACAUCUAAGUACCUGAAGGAAGAGAAAGAAAUUCGAUUCCGUAAGUAGCGGCGAGCGAACGCGGAUUAGCCCAAACUAAUAAAGUUUUCUUUAUUGGGGUUGCGGACAUAUCAUAACGAAGAGGUAUCGUAAUUGAAGAGGUUUGGAAAGACCCACCACAGAAGGUAAUAGUCCUGUAUGUUAAACGAGAAGACUU
rnacentral:rRNA from 1 species